rnacentral:lncRNA from 10 species
AGGUGAAGAUGCAAUGAGAAAGCACAGUCUUUGAAGCAAGAGAGAGCCCUUACGAGAUGCUGAAUCCGCUAGUGCCUUGACAUGGGACUUUCCAACCUUCAAAACUAAAAACUGUCAAGACCAGUGAACACCUAGUGUUACUUGCACCAAGAAUAGUAACCACGGCUCUUGCAGAACUUGAAGAAAAUCAUAUAAAAAUCAAAAUAUCUGAGAAGAGUGUUAACUGAAUAGGAUGGCAGAAUUUUGUGAUGCAGAGAAGAGGCUAUGAAUAAGUCACCAAAACAAGCAGGAAGGGAAGAAGACAAUUCAAAAAGCCAAACUACAAUGUCAAGACAUUGGAAAACUCCCAAGUAAAUUAAGACAGAGAGUAUAACAGUUUAGAUAGGCAAAUGGAGAAGCGAUUUUGGAUGAAUGUAAAAGACAGUGUACUGACUCUGGUAAGAUAUUUUUCUGUAGUACUUGUAUAUUAUUAAAAGCGAUGAUUGUGGAAAUUUCUGUCUUAUUACUGAACACAGAGGAAAACAGUAAGUAUUUUGCAUUUAAGUAUAAUCUUAGUUUUAGAUUUUCAGACACUGUUUAUAGGUCUAAGAAAGUUCUAUUUUAUCUCCGCUUUAUUAAUAAUUUUGGAUAUUAUCAAAUGCAUUUACAACAUCUAUUGAAGGAACCAUUUAAAUUUUUUGUUAAUGUGGUUAAAUAAAUUUAUUGACAUUCAAAUAUUAAGCCAAGCUUGUAUUUCUGAAAUAAAUGAUACUUAUUCAUAUGUAUUAUUUCCAUUUAGGUUAUUGUGUUCCAUUUGUUGAUAAUGUGUUAAGAUUUUACAUCUGUGCUCAUGAGAGUAGCCUUUAAUUUUUUGUUCUUAUAAUGUUCUUACUAGUUUUUGUUGUCAGGGUUAUGUUUGUGUAAUCAAAUAUACUGGGAAGUGUUUUCUUCAUUUUUAUUCUCAAGAAUACUGUACAUAAGAUUUAUAUUAUUUCUUCUUUAAAUGUUGGCAGGAAUUCACCAGUUAAAGCUCCUGGGCCUAGACUAUGUGUCUGUGUGUGUGUGU